rnacentral:snoRNA from 1 species
CUGCAAAGAUGAGGAUCCUGAACUCUCUCUUUCUGAUGCUUAAGUGGAGAAGCUCUUCACGAGGUUCUGAGUGGC